UAAGCGGAGGAAAAGAAACCAACAGGGAUUGCCCCAGUAACGGCGAGUGAAGCGGCAAAAGCUCAAAUUUGAAAUCCUGCGGGAAUUGUAAUUUGAAGGUUUCGUGGUCUGAGUCGGCCGCGCCCAAGUCCAUUGGAACAUGGCGCCUGGGAGGGUGAGAGCCCCGUAUGGCGCACGCCGACUCUUUGCACCGCGGCUCCGACGAGUCGAGUUGUUUGGGAAUGCAGCUCUAAGUGGGUGGUAAAUUCCAUCUAAAGCUAAAUAUUGGCGAGAGACCGAUAGCGAACAAGUACAGUGAUGGAAAGAUGAAAAGCACUUUGAAAAGAGAGUGAAACAGCACGUGAAAUUGUUGAAAGGGAAGGGCUUGCAAGCAGACACGGUUUUACCGGGCCAGCGUCGAAAAGGGGGGAGGAACAAGAACUCGAGAAUGUGGCGCGCACCUUCGGGCGCGCGUGUUAUAGCUCGUGUUGACGCCUCCAUCCCUUUUCGAGGCCUGCGAUUCUAGGACGCUGGCGUAAUGGUUGCAAGCCGC
rnacentral:rRNA from 1 species